rnacentral:rRNA from 1 species
GAGUUUGAUCAUGGCUCAGAACGAACGCUGGCGGCAGGCCUCAUACAUGCAAGUCGAGCGGUCCUUCGGGACAGCGGCGAACGGGUUAGUAACGCGUGGGAACGUGCCCUUUAGUACGGAAUAGCCAUUGGAAACGAUGAUUAAUACCGUAUACGCCCCAAGGGGGAAAGAUUUAUCGCUAAAGGAUCGGCCCGCGUUAGAUUAGGUAGUUGGUAGGGUAAUGGCCUACCAAGCCGACGAUCUAUAGCUGGUUUGAGAGGAUGAUCAGCAACACUGGGACUGAGACACGGCCCAGACUUCUACGGAAGGCAGCAGUAGGGAAUCUUGGACAAUGGGCGAAAGCCUGAUCCAGCCAUGCCGCGUGAGUGAUGAAGGCCCUAGGGUUGUAAAGCUCUUUCGCCAGGGAAGAUAAUGACGGUACCUGGUAAAGAAACCCCGGCUAACUCCGUGCCAGCAGCCGCGGUAAUACGGAGGGGGUUAGCGUUGUUCGGAAUUACUGGGCGUAAAGCGCACGUAGGCGGAUUAAUAAGUCAGGGGUGAAAUCCCGAGGCUCAACCUCGGAACUGCCUUUGAUACUGUUAAUCUUGAGUUCGAGAGAGGUGAGUGGAAUUCCGAGUGUAGAGGUGAAAUUCGUAGAUAUUCGGAGGAACACCAGUGGCGAAGGCGGCUCACUGGCUCGAUACUGACGCUGAGGUGCGAAAGCGUGAGGAGCAAACAGGAUUAGAUACCCUGGUAGUCCACGCCGUAAACGAUGAGAGCUAGUCGUU